rnacentral:rRNA from 1 species
AGCGAACGCUGGCGGCAUGCCUAACACAUGCAAGUCGCACGGGGGGGCUUCGGCCUCCCAGUGGCGGACGGGUGAGGAACGCGUAGGGACCUGUCGAGGGGUGGGGGAUAACCGCGGGAAACUGCGGCUAAUACCGCAUGACGCCGCGGCGUGACAGCCGGGGCCAAAGGCGAAAGCCGCCCGCCGAGGGGCCUGCGUCCGAUUAGCUGGUUGGCGGGGUAGCGGCCCACCAAGGCGUCGAUCGGUAGCUGGUCUGAGAGGGUGAUCAGCCACACCGGGACUGAGACACGGCCCGGACUCCUACGGGAGGCAGCAGUGGGGAAUAUUGACAAUGGGCGCAAGCCUGAUCCAGCAAUGCCGCGUGGGUGAAGAAGGUCUUCGGAUUGUAAAGCCCUUUCGGCGGGGACGAUGGUGACGGUACCCGCAGAAGAAGCCCCGGCUAACUUCGUG